AUUGGUCAAUAGUAAGAUUGCGUAUUUUGAAAACUUGGCGGUAGUUGGGAGGAGGCAGAAUAGAGUGAGGGUUCGAUGUUAAACAGUCUGGGAGUAAUAUAAUAAGCCGGUCCAAGACGCUGGCAAGCAGGGUAACAGUGAUACAGGAGUUGUGGAAAGUUGUUCUGGGUGAGGACGCUGUGACUGAUAGAGUCGUAUAAAAGCCGAGAGCCAAGUGAAGAGACGACUGAUAAGAAUUGACAGCUAUUCCGGAGCUCCGAGUUUCAGGCUCUCCUGUGUAAGAUGGGGAAGGAUGAGGGCAUUCCAGUAAGAGUUGCCCUACGCUGCCGUCCUCUAGUGCCCAAAGAAAAUAAUGAAGGAUGUAAAAUGUGUCUAACGUUUGUUCCAGGGGAGCAGCAGGUGAUAGUGGGCACAGAAAAAUCCUUCACUUAUGAUUAUGUUUUUGACCCAUCAGCUGAGCAAGAGGAGGUGUAUAACUCUGCUGUUGCUCCACUCAUUAAAGGAUUAUUUAAAGGAUACAAUGCCACUGUUCUGGCAUAUGGGCAGACUGGUUCUGGAAAAACAUAUUCAAUGGGAGGAGCUUAUACACACAAUCAGGAGAAUGAGCCAACUGUGGGAGUUAUCCCUAGAACUGUUAUAGCUCUCUUUAGAGAAAUCCAUCAGAGGCCUGAAUGGGAGUUCAAUUUAAAAGUAUCUUACUUAGAGAUCUACAACGAAGAAAUUCUAGAUUUGCUGUAUGCAGCUCGUGACAAAACUAAUACAAUUAGCAUUCGGGAAGACCCAAAAGAAGGGAUUAAGAUUUGUGGUUUGACAGAGCGGGAUGUAAAGACAGCCCUGGACACACUAUCUUGCUUAGAGCAGGGAAACAGCUCGCGUACUGUGGCAUCCACUGCCAUGAACUCCCAGUCCUCUCGGUCACAUGCCAUCUUUACAAUCUCUAUCGAGCAGAGGAAGGAAGGGGACAAAAACAAUAGCUUUCGCUCCAAACUGCACCUUGUGGACUUGGCAGGGUCAGAAAGGCAAAAAAAGACUAAGGCUGAAGGUGAUCGACUCAAGGAAGGUAUCAGCAUUAACCGUGGCCUGCUGUGCCUAGGAAAUGUCAUCAGUGCCCUAGGUGAUGAAAGCAAGAAGGGUGGCUUUGUACCUUACAGAGACUCCAAGCUGACUCGUCUCCUACAAGAUUCUCUUGGAGGGAACAGCCACACUCUUAUGAUCGCAUGUGUUAGUCCUGCUGACUCGAACAUGGAAGAAACUCUAAAUACACUGCGAUAUGCUGACAGAGCGAGGAAGAUAAAGAACAAACCUAUUGUCAACACUGAUCCCCAGGCUGCAGAGCUACAACGACUUAAACUACAGGUACAAGAAUUGCAAGUCCUGCUACUUCAGGCACAUGGAGGAACUCUGCCUGUUUUGAACAGCAUGGAACCAUCUGAGAAUCUCCAGUCCCUAAUGGAGAGAAACAAGAAUUUAGAGAAAGAAAAUGGCAAGCUGAGCCGGGAACUUGGCGAAGCAGCAGUACAGACUGCACAAUUUCUAGAAAAAAUUAUUAUGACUGAGCAACAGAAUGAAAAACUGGGCAGUAAAAUGGAAGAGCUAAAGCAACACGCUGCGUGCAAAGUGAACCUUCAGAGAUUAGUAGAAACACUGGAAGACCAGGAGCUUAAAGAUAAUGUGGAGGUUAUCCAAGACUUGCAGCAGGUCAUUGUACAGCUCCAGGAUGAAAGCUCUGGAAUUGCAGGCUCUAUUGAGGCUAUGGAUGAAGAGGCUGCAUCCUUUCCAGUGCCUGAAGAGGACUCCGGAGAGAAACGCUCCUCUGAUGGAUUCACUACCAAUCAUGCUUUGCGUCAGGCCCAGCUCUCCAAGGAGCUAAUCGAAUUAAACAAAGCUUUGGUGAUGAAGGAAGCUCUGGCAAAGAAGAUGGCUCAAAAUGAUAGACAGCUAGAGCCAAUUCAGAGCGAGUACCUGAACAAUAUUAAACAUCUCGAGUCUGAAGUGGGAGUCCUGCAAAAAGAAAAGGAGGAGCUUAUUCUGGCACUUCACUCUGCUAAAAAAGACAACAAUCAGGCUAAAUUAAGUGAGCGUCGCCGCAAGAGGCUCCAAGAGCUUGAGGGGCAAAUGACAGAGCUUAAGAAAAAGUUAGGUGAACAGUCAAAACUUCUGAAACUCAGAGAGUCCACUGAAAAAACAGUCGCCAAAAUGAACCAGGAAAUCCAGGGAAUGAAAAUGCAGAGGGUGCAACUCAUGAGACAGAUGAAAGAGGAUGCUGAAAAAUUUCGUACCUGGAAACAACAAAAAACUAAAGAGGUUAUUCAGCUAAAGGAGAAGGACCGAAAGAGGCAAUAUGAGCUACUAAAACUUGAAAGGGACUUCCAGAAACAGGCCAAUGUCCUCCGCAGGAAAACCGAAGAGGCAGCCUCUGCCAACAAACGGCUAAAAGAGGCCUUGCAGAGACAGAAGGAGGCCAUGGAGAAACGGAAAGAUUCCCAGAGCAAAGGCAUGGAAGGUGCUGCCUCUAGAGUAAAGAACUGGCUGGCUAAUGAGGUUGAAGUGCUUGUCAGCACAGAGGAGGCACAGAGACAUCUAAAUGACCUCCUGGAGGACAGAAAAAUCCUGGCCCAAGAUAUAGCACAGCUGAAACAAAAGACGGAUGCCGGCGAGCGUAUUCCUACCAAAAUCCGGAGGCGCACUUACACUGUUGCAGAACUGGAAAAUCUGGAGGAAGAGGCUUCUGUCACCAAGCAGAUUGAGAGCUUAGAGACUGAAAUGGAGCUCAGGAGUGCUCAGAUAGCUGAUUUGCAACAGAAGUUGCUGGAUGCAGAUGGCGAAGAGGAAAUGGUCAAACGGAGGUGGGAAACAAUCUCCAACAUCAUGGAGGCAAAAUGUGCUCUCAAGUACCUGAUAACUGAGCUCGUCUCAUCCAAAGUGGCGGGCAGUAAACUAGAAAGCAGUGUAAAGCAGAAUAGGGCUCAUGUUGCUGAUCUACAAAAAAACAUCUUUGAGGAGAGGAAUCAGAUGGCAGAGAUGGAAACUGAGCAUCAGAGUCAGCUCAUGCAAUUGGAGCAACAUCAUCAGGAAAAGAUCCUUUACUUGUUGAGCCAACUGCAGCAGAAGCAAGCAUCUGUACCUGUAACAAUUGAAGAAUUGCCAGCAGAGGAAAUAACUGAGCGUGAGAAGCAACUGAUGGAGAGACUGAAGUUCCAGGAUGAAGAAAUAGAGAAAAUGAAGGCAUUAUGUGAAAAGAAUCAGCAGCUGUUGCAAGAGAAUGACAUGUAUAAGCAGAAACUAGCCCUUCUUCACGUUGCAAGUGGAAAGAAGCUGCACAACAUCCUACCAGCAGCUGAAAUAUGCUCACCAGACUCUCCCUUUGACUUCAUCCCACCUAAGCCAAGAGGCAAAAGGCGGACAAAUGCAAAAAGUGCUGCGGUUAUCCUUGAGGACCUGCUGUCUGAAUCUGAAUCUGAGGAGGAAUCAGAUGAUAAAAACUGGGAACCUGGAAAUAAUUCAAAACAGAGCAAGAAACUGACAAGCAAGUGCUCCUGUAAGGCUCGCUGUGGUAACAAAAUGUGCGGCUGUAGGAAAACCAAGCAGAACUGCUCUGAUGAUUGUUUUUGUGACCCUUCCAAAUGUCGUAACAGAGAUAACCAUAUGGAUGAAGGAAAACAUGAAGACCAGUCUCUUGAAUCUGAGAACUCAAAGAUCGAUUACCCAGAUGUAACAGCUGGUGGGUCAUUCUUCACUCCACCCUGCGUGACACCUACUAAGAAGGUGCUGCGUGAGAUUAGCGACAUUGGUCAGGUUCUGUCUAUCAAGCUGCAACGAAAACCAAGCACUGCUUCAGCUUCUGCGUCUGUCAUGGAAUCUCAAGAGAACCAGACUUCCAUCCUGACGAAGAAGAAGAAAGUCUUGUGCAACAGCAACACCAGCUUCUUCUCUGGCUGCUCGGCAAUUACAGAGGAUGAAUAGAGCAGGCCUGUCUGUUCCUUCCUGCUUUUUUCAUGUUUGAGCACACUCUUCAAUACUUGGUACUAUUAUAGUGCCAGCACUGCGUGGUGCUCUGACCAAUACAACCGUGUAGAUAUUCACACCCAGGCAAUGCAGAUUUUCAUUGUCCAACACGGUCUGUGUUGGUAGCACAUGCCAUGGACAGUUGAAACACACUGAGAAAUUAGCAAUUACAAUUAAAUGUCAACUUGAUUUGUAAAAAUGUAUGUGUUUGUGUAGUGGGCAAGCCCUGUAUUUCUGUUUCUAUUCCCCAAUGCUUUUUUGUUGCUUAUGCCAGUGGUUUAUAAAUAGAUUUUAAAGUGUAUUAAAACGUGUCUUUGUAUUUGGCCCUAUUUGCAGUGUACACACUGUUAACACUGACUUUUUUCUUUUUACUCAGAAGGCAAGGAGUCAAACUGUUAAAUCUUAAAGCCUUCUUUGUUUCAGUUUAUGGCAACCAAAACAACUAUUGGCCAAUUAACCCUACCUGCAUUGUCUUGGCAGUUUGGCUGAUGCAUACAGGUUGUAUAGUCUUUUAACUACUUUGCCCAACAGGCAGCCUUUCUUGGUCAAUAGUCUUUUAUCAUGGAUACCACUGAAACCUGUGCCCGCCAAAACUUGUGUCUAAGUCUUGUUUCUUCCUGUUCCUGUCCCCUUUUAUGUUGAAAUUUUAGUGUGAAUGGGUCCAAUUUUCACUAUUCAAAUAUUUCUGAUUAUUUUAUUGCUAAUAAAAUAUAUAAACAAA